CAAUAUGGUGACCUCCCGGGAGCGGGGAGC
rnacentral:piRNA from 1 species